CUGCAACUCGCCUGCAUGAAGCUGGAAUUGCUAGUAAUCGCGGAUCAGCAAGCCGCGGUGAAUACGUUCCCGGGCCUUGUACACACCGCCCGUCACACCAUGAGAGUCGGGAACACCCGAAGUCCGUAGUCUAACCGCAAGGGGGCGCGGCCGAAGGUGGGUCCGGUAAUUGGGGUGAAGUCGUAACAAGGUACC
rnacentral:rRNA from 1 species